AGUGAACGCUGGCGGUAGGCCUAACACAUGCAAGUCGAACGGCAGCACAGUAAGAGCUUGCUCUUACGGGUGGCGAGUGGCGGACGGGUGAGGAAUACAUCGGAAUCUACUUUUUCGUGGGGGAUAACGUAGGGAAACUUACGCUAAUACCGCAUACGACCUACGGGUGAAAGCAGGGGAUCUUCGGACCUUGCGCGAUUGAAUGAGCCGAUGUCGGAUUAGCUAGUUGGCGGGGUAAAGGCCCACCAAGGCGACGAUCCGUAGCUGGUCUGAGAGGAUGAUCAGCCACACUGGAACUGAGACACGGUCCAGACUCCUACGGGAGGCAGCAGUGGGGAAUAUUGGACAAUGGGCGCAAGCCUGAUCCAGCCAUACCGCGUGGGUGACGAAGGCCUUCGGGUCGUAAAGCCCUUUUGUUGGGAAAGAAAAGCAGCAGGUUAAUACCCCGCUGUUCUGACGGUACCCAAAGAAUAAGCACCGGCUAACUUCGUG
rnacentral:rRNA from 1 species